AGUGAACGCUGGCGGUAGGCCUAACACAUGCAAGUCGAACGGCAGCACAGUAAGAGCUUGCUCUUACGGGUGGCGAGUGGCGGACGGGUGAGGAAUACAUCGGAAUCUACUUUUUCGUGGGGGAUAACGUAGGGAAACUUACGCUAAUACCGCAUACGACCUACGGGUGAAAGCAGGGGAUCUUCGGACCUUGCGCGAUUGACUGAGCCGAUGUCGGAUUAGCUAGUUGGCGGGGUAAAGGCCCACCAAGGCGACGAUCCGUAGCUGGUCUGAGAGGAUGAUCAGCCACACGGGAACUGAGACACGGUCCAGACUCCUACGGGAGGCAGCAGUGGGGAAUAUUGGACAAUGGGCGCAAGCCUGAUCCAGCCAGACCGCGUGGGUGAAGAAGGCCUUCGGGUUGUAAAGCCCUUUUGUUGGGAAAGAAAAGCAGCAGGUUAAUACCCCGCUGUUCUGACGGUACCCAAAGAAUAAGCACCGGCUAACUUCGUG
rnacentral:rRNA from 1 species